rnacentral:lncRNA from 1 species
GAUUGAAAUAUGUAUUAAAGAUCCACACCACAAUUGUAGUAACCCAAUUAAGUUGGGUAUUUAGAGGGAAUCGGCCCAUUAGGGCUAGGUGCUCAAUACCUAAUUAAAAGAUGGACUUGGUAGUUAGAGAUAUACACUAUCCCUAACUUUUGGUAACCUACCUUAUUCAAAUUGAUACCCAUCUUCGAAGAUUUUAUUAGAAUAACUAGGAAAUUCGUUUUUCUACUUGACCUACAUAUAAUUGACCUUUAAACCUAUGUAAACACACCAACAACCCUGGAAAAUAGUCCCUGUGCUUUGUGCCUUUGAAAACCUUUUUGCUUUGUGCCUUGAAACUAUUUUUCUUUGCCUUUGUGUGCCCUAAUACUUGGUGUAUAUCUUGAACUCCGAAAAUCUAUUGUUGGUGUUACCUUUGUGGUGUUGGAUCGAAGUUUCUGAGCCUAAGAAAAGGAGGAAUUAUUACUUCUUUGUUCUUGCAUCUAUUUCUUCACUUUCUUGAUUGUUUUGAUUGAUUCUUGUUUAUUAAUUGAGUUUAUCACUUACUUGUUGAUUUGUUCACUUGUAGGAGACAUUUAAUACUCACAAAUUUGGUAUCAGAGCUGGUGGAAUCGAAGAAAACAGAUCAGAAUCGAAGAAAACAGAUCAGAAACGCAAUCUGCCCAGAUUUUUUCAAAAAAAAAAUCUGAACCUGUAAAUUCGAUUUCUGGACAAACCAGAAGUCGUUUGGAGAAACGGAGACGGGAUUUGGGACGUGCAGACGGAGGAGAUUCAGGACCACCGGCGCGUUGGUCAACGCCGAUGGCUCGUGAGGGCCACGUGCUCUGAUUCCGGGGAAGGUCCCUUCUGACAGAAUCUUUAUUUUGUCAUUUCUAACACUCCUGUGCUGUUAGUUUUCGAUUUCAGGUACUGUAGAAAAAGUUGGAUGAUUUUGCCCUUGGUGGAUUGCCGGUCGAAACUUUUGAAUAUUUACUGAAUUACUUUAGGCCAAGAUUGUGGCCCUAAAGCAGUAAAUUCGCAUCUCUUCAAUUUACGGACCUCAGAAGUGGUCCGCUCUGGUAAAUUGGCUGAAACCUUUACAUUAUUGCACUAGCAGAUCAUCGUGUGGGGUGAUCACAUAGGUUUGGGGGUUGCCAUUGCUUGGUAACCAUUGUUUGUUGCUAGAACCUAGGAUUACCUAUUUAAUUUCUAAGUAAAAUUAUUUGUUUAUCGUUUUUAGCUUAAUUUGUUGAACGUUGUUGCGUUAUCUUAUAUCAUUUUAGAAUUGUACCCGAGCCGCCUAUUCUAGUUUCUUCCCUUGACCUAAGAACUUGAUUCUCACAGAAUCGUGGGGUUCUAGAAUAGAGUAUUACUGUGAAACCAUAGGAAUCUUGUUACUCUGUGUAAUCUGUGUGACCUGUGACUUUUACAAGUUUGAAUUUGUGUUCUGUGCAUUUUUGGGUAAGAUGUCGACACAUCACUUUGAAUUAGGUAUCUUUAAUGGUAAAGGAGAUUUUUCUAUUUGGCAACAAAAAAUGAAAGGUAUUCUUGUUCAACAAAAAGUUUCAAAAGCUAUUGAUAAUUCUUUUUAUGAAACCUUGACUGCUGAAGAAAAAGAAAACUUGGAUGAAUUGGAAUACACUUCUAUUAUUUUACACUUGUCUUAUACAGUUUUAAGAAAAGUUGGUAAGUUAAAAACUACCAAAGAACUUUGGGAAAAAUUGUAGGAACUUUAUGUGUCAAGGUCCACUCCAAACAAACUUUUUCUACUCGAAAGCUUUUUUAGUUUCAAAAUUGAUUCUUCAAAAGACCUUGAUGACAAUUUGGAUGUUUUCAAUAAACUUGUGCAAUACAUCACUAACUGUGGUGAAAAAGUAUCUGAAAAAUAUAAGGCUAUCAUUUUGUUGAAUGCUAUUCCUGACACUUAUAGAGAUGUUAAAAAUGCUAUUAAGUACGGGAAAGAUACUUUAACACCUGAAAUUGUUAUAGACUCGUUAAGAAGUAAAGAUAUGGAAAUGCGAGCCGAGAGAGUCGAGAGAAAAAGUGGUGAGGUCCAUAUGAUGAGAGGUAGGUCUCAGUCUAGGACUCGUGAUAACCAAAGAGGAUAUGCAUCUGGUGGUAAAAAGAGAAAUAGGAGUCUAUCUAGGCCAAAAGGUAAACCUAAAGGUAGGAAAUGUUAUAGGUGCGGUAAAACUGGACAUUUCAUUAAAGAUUGUUAUGUUGAGAAAAACAAACAAAAUGAAAAGGUUGUUGAUGAGGCCAAUGUUGUUACUUCUUCUGAUAAAUGCUGUGAAGUAUAUGUGUUAUUGAACUCUAAACCUACUGAAGUAAAUCUGACUAUGAAAUCACACGUGCAUGAAUGGAUACUUGAUUCUGGUGCAUCAUUCCAUGUUUCAUCACAUAAAGCUUGGUUUGAAAAUUUGCAAGAGUCUGAAAGUGGUCAUGCUAUUUUAUGCAAUAAUGAUGCAUAUAAAAUUGUUGGAAUUGGUGAUAUCACGUUAAAAUUUGACACUGGCUAUGUACUUAAAUUAUAUGGAGUCAGAUAUAUUCUUGAAAUGGCUAGGAAUCUUAUUUCGGUAGGAGCAUUAGAAACCGAUGGUUUUUCUAGUAAAAUUGGAAACAAUAUGUUGAAAAUGAUUAAGGGUUCGCUUGUCACAUGUAAAGGUAUUAAAAGAAACGGUAUUUAUGUGACCAAUGCUGAAAUUGUUAAAGAUUCUAUUUCCUCUAUAAAUUUGACCAACACUGAUGAUACACACAAGUGGCACAAUAGAUUAGCUCACAUAAGUAUUAAAGGACUUAAACUGCUAAAUGAUAAAGGUGUAUUUGGAAAAGACUGUGUGUCUAAUAUGCCUUUCUGUGACCACUGUGUGCUUGGAAAACAUCAUAAGUUAUCUUUCUCAUCUGGCAUGCAUAAAACUGCUAAAGUUUUGGAAUACAUUCAUACAGAUUUAUGGGGGCCUGCUACUAAUCCUACUAUGGGUGGUAAUAUAUUUUUUUUGUCCAUAAUUGAUGAUUACUCUCGUAGAGUAUGGGUUUAUUUGUCAAAGGAUAAAACUGAAACCUUUAAUGUUUUCAAAAUAUGGAAAUUGCAAGUUGAAACUCAAACUGGCAAAAUGGUAAAAUAUCUAAGAACUGAUAAUGGCCUAGAAUUCUGUAAUAAAGAUUUUGAUGAUAUGUGUGAAAAAUGUGGAAUUACUAGACAUAGAACUGUUUCUUAUACACCUCAACAGAACCGGGUGGCUGAACGUAUGAAUCGUACUUCACUUGACAAAGUUAGAUGUAUGAUGUUGAGUUCUGGUAUUCCUAAAUCGUUUUGGGGUGAAGCUGUUGUAACUACAUGUUAUUUGAUUAAUAUGACACCUUCUACUGCAUUAAAUGGUGAUACUCCGUAUGAAAAAUGGUAUGGUAAAUGUGCUGACUAUACUAUGUUGAAAACUUUUGGCUGUGCUGCUUUCUCUCAUCAAAAUGAGGGAAAACUAGAACCUAGAGCUAGGAAAUGUAUUUUCUUAGGACACCCCAAAGGAGUUAAAGGGUAUAGGCUUUGGGAUAGAAGUCAACCUGGAGUUAAGAUCAUCGUAAGUCGUGAUGUUACAUUUAAUGAGUCUGAUAUGUCGUGCCUUAAAUCAGAGAAUGACAGUUUGAGAGAAAAACAGUAAGAAAACACUAGUGACGAAUCCCGAGAGGAUCUAAGAUCUUUAAGUGUUAGAACCCCCACCACCUCAAUUGAGGUGGAGCAUCAAAAUCCUGAAUUAGAAGACAGCCAGAAUGAAAAUACUAAGAGAGAUGAGAUUGUAGAGGAAUAUCAAGAAGAACAAAAACCUUUAUCUGGUUAUCAGUUAGCUAGAGACAGAGUUAGGAGAACACAUAGGGUGCCUCAAAGAUUAGAGUCUGAUUUUGAGCUUGCUUAUACUAGUUAUGAAGAAUUAGUUGAUAGGGAACCAAACAUGUAUGAAGAAGCCUUGAGGAGUGAACAAUCUGAGAAUUGGGUAAAAGCGAUGAAAGAAGAGAUAAAUUCCCUCGAUAAAAAUCAAACAUGGGAGUUAGUCCCAAGACCUAAAGACAAGUCUAUUGUUGGGUGCAAAUGGGUUUUUAAGGUUAAGGAGGGAAUUACCAAAGGAGACGAUUUAAGGUUUAAGGCUAGACUUGUGGCCAAAGGUUACACACAAAAGGAAGGGAUAGAUUAUAAUGAGAUCUUUUCUCCAGUUGUUAAGUAUACCACAAUUAGGACUAUGAUUGCAUUAGUUGCGCAUUUUAAUUAGGAACUUGAACAACUUGAUGUUAAAACUGCUUUUCUGCAUGGUGAAUUUGAUGAAAAGAUUUUUAUGGAUCAACCUAAGGGUUUUGAAAACAAACAAAAACCUAAUCAUGUGUGUUUUCUAAAACGCUCUCUAUAUGGUUUAAAAAAAUCUCCUAGACAGUGGUACAAACGUUUUGAUUCGUUUGUUCAAACAAUUGGUUUUAAAAGGAGUGAAUUUGAUCAUUGCUUGUACUAUCAAGGCAGUAUGAAUAAUAACUAUGUGUUUCUGUUGCUAUACAUGGAUGAUAUACUUUUGAUUGGUCCUAACUUAAAGUUGUUAAACAGUAUAAAAACUACUUUGAGUAAUGAAUUUGAUAUGAAAGACCUAGGUAAUGCUAAAAUGAUCUUAGGCAUGGAGAUUAAAAGAGAUAGGUCAAAUUCAUUGUUGCUUUUGCAUCAGGCUCCAUACAUUAUGAAAAUUUUGAAAAAGUUUGGCAUGAUUGAAUGUAAACCUGUUUCUUUACCUUUGGGCAAUCACUUUGUGUUAUCUAAGGAACAAUCACCUGCUAAUGAAGAGGAAGAGGAAUAUAUGAAAAAUGUUCCAUAUUCGAAUGCCAUCGGUUCUGUGAUGUAUUUAAUGGUGUGUACUAGAUCUGAUUUAGCUUUUACUGUUAGUACACUUAGCAGGUAUAUGUCAAACCCUGGUCCCACGCAUUGGGAAGCUUUGAAAUGGUUGUUUAAAUGUUUGAAAGGAACAUGCAAUGUUGGUUUAGUAUUGAAGGAGUAAAAUUGAAAGGCUUUACUGAUGCUGAUUAUGCUGGUGAUAGAGAUAAUAGGAAAUCUACAUCUUCCUAUGUAUUUACUUUGUGUGAAUCAUGUAUUAGCUGGAAAUCACAACUUCAACAUGUUGCAUUAUCUACUACUGAAUCUGAAUAUAUUGCUGCUACUAAAGCCUUUAAAGAAUCUAUGUGGUUUAAAGGUAUGUUAAAUGAACUAGGUGUUCUUGAUAAUGACGUGACAAUAUAUUCUGAUAGUCAAUCUGCUAUUCACUUAUGCAAAAAUCCUGUCUUUCAUGAACGUACUAAACAUAUAGAUGUUAAAUUGCAUUUUAUUAGAGAUAUGGUUUCUCAAGAACUGGUAAAACUUGAGAAAAUCCUUUCAGAGUACAAUCCUACAGAUAUGGGAACUAAAGUGCUCCCAUUGGUAAAGUUUAGAAGUUGCCUUGAUCUUCUAAAUAUCGGUACAAACUUGUAAGUCUCUUUACUUAAGCUAUUUGUUAUCUUAUCUGACUUGCAGGUUGUUCUGGCAUCAAGGUGGAGGUUGUUAGGUAUUUUAGUGAUGCUCAAACAACCCCCUAGGCAAUGAUGAAAAACUGAGACCCGUUCGUCUCAUAGGUUUUAAGCCCGAGAUUGAAAUAUGUAUUAAAGAUCCACACCACAAUUGUAGUAACCCAAUUAAGUUGGGUAUUUAGAGGGAAUCGGCCCAUUAGGGCUAGGUGCUCAAUACCUAAUUAAAAGAUGGACUUGGUAGUUAGAGAUAUACACUAUCCCUAACUUUUGGUAACCUACCUUAUUCAAAUUGAUACCCAUCUUUGAAGAUUUUAUUGGAAUAUCUAGGAAAUUCGUUUUUCUACUUGACCUACAUAUAAUUGACCUCUAAACCUAUGUAAACACACCAACAACCCUAGAAAAUAGUCCCUGUGCUUUGUGCCUUUGAAAACCUUCUUGCUUUGUGCCUUGAAGCUAUUUUUCUUUGCCUUUGUGUGCCCUAAUACUUAGUGUAUAUCUUGGACUCCGAAAAUCUAUUGUU